AUAGUUUCCUGUUUUUUUUUUACUGUAAUGAAGACAUGACAAUACAGUAAACUAUAUUAUGACAGGAUUUGUUCUGAGAGGAGUAUUUCUGACAGGAAAAUGUUGUUUCUGAAGUAAAAUUUUAAUGUGACUCUAAAUUGAGUUUGACACCACUGCACUAAACCAACUGAAUGGUGCAUCUUUUGGACAUAGUCGUAUUAUUUGCCUGAUUAAUUGCCAUUGGUUUUCUGUUUUAAGAUGCUGAUACAUGGGGCAACUUUUUGUUGUUGUGGUGGGCACUUUUCCAUUGAGAUAAGUGAGAGAAAUUUGUUGCCCAUCUUAAUGGAGAAAGGUCAGCCAAGUGGAGAUGAGAGAACCUCCCGGGAGAUGAACCCUCCCCUUGAGAACAGGUCCUGCUCUUCCCCAGACAUCAGCGCAGUUGGUGGAUUGAGGAGGUACUUGGCUGACCUUUCUGCCUCCUCUGGCAACUCGAAAGAUCACCUGUGUGGACAAUCGGACAAACUGUCGGGCUAAAUCAUACGAGGUGUCCAAAAACGAAAUUAAAAUAGCGUCGUACAAAACCACUACAAUAAGUGCCCUCAGUGAUGGCGUGAGGGCAUUUAUUGCUCCUGUGGAGGGUGAAAGCCCACUGUUUGAGACCGGGAGGGCCUAUAUUAUAAAAAAUUACACCCUGUCCCACAAAUUUGGACGGGAGUGCAUAUUCCUCAACCCCAAUUCGAAAAAAUUUCAAACGGCUUCCUUCGAGUUGCCAGAGGAGGCAGAAAGGUCAGCCAAGUACCUCCUCAAUCCACCAACUGCGCUGAUGUCUGGGGAAGAGCAGGACCUGUUCACAAGGGGAGGGUUCAUCUCCCUGAAGGGAGAAAUUGAAAAAUUGCAGGUCCCCAGGUUGACCCGAGUGGCUGAUGGAGAGGUCCCCAUCAGAGACCUGUCUCUCCGGUGUGGCCAGAAGGUUUUGGAGGUGUCCCUCUGGCGUGAUGAGGUCCUGGUCCAGCUCAGCCUGGGGGAUCAUGUUGAGAUUUCGUGCCUCAGGGCGAGUCUCAGACCUUCUCCCAAGCUGAACUCAUCCAGCUAUUCAGCUGUGGAGAAGACUGUAGCUGAAGCAGUUGAGGUGGAGCUCAACAUCAUUGGGGUCUCGGAUGGAGAUGGUGAGACAGUUCUGCUGUCCGACACCUAUGAAGAAUACACGGUCCCUGCAGCGCUAAUGCUCGGCAUCACUGCUGAUGACUUACCAAUAAAAAUUACACUAGCUCUCAAAAAUAAAAUGGUUCAGAGUAUUGAACCAUUGGGGGAGAUGUUGGAGGAAAUGUUUCAAUCAAUUUGACUUUUUUUUGUUUUUAAUAGUUACAUUUCUGUUAGUUGUUUUAUCAGUCAUUAAUUGUUACAUUUUUUUUAUUAGUUGUUUUAUCAGUCAUUAAUUGUUAAAUUUUUUAUUAGUUUUAUCAGUCAUUAAUUUUUCACAUUUUUAUUAGUUGUUUUUUCAUUCAGGAAUUGUUCCUUUUAACUAAUUAGUAAUACAUAGUAAUACAAAAGUGUUUUUUCCAUGCUUUCCAUAAAUGUAAAUUAAAUAAUCAUUAACCUAAGUCUGAUGCAUUUUAUCACCUCCCUACCAUAAACAAAUGCUUAAUGUUGCUCUGAUCUUAAUGCAACCAAGUAUGUUAAAAGCAUUUGUUUAUGAUAGGGAGGUGAUAAAAUGCAUCAGACUUAGGCUAAUGAGUAUUUAAUCCUUCAUUACUUAUACAACCUUUUGUAGAAAAUGUUUCUCUUAAAGGUUGUAUAAGGAAUAAAGAAAUAGAGAGUAAUUACA
ensembl:lncRNA